GUCUUCCUUUACUAAUUUAACUUGAGAAGAUGAACGGUCAAUGUAAACCUUUUCAACUUCAAAACAUGUUAAAAUGCCAUAAUCAUC
rnacentral:tRNA from 1 species